rnacentral:rRNA from 1 species
UACGGGGGGGGCAAGCGUUGUUCGGAAUUACUGGGCGUAAAGGGCUCGUAGGCGGCCAACUAAGUCAGACGUGAAAUCCCCAGGCUCAACCGGGGAACUGCGUCUGAUACUGGAUGGCUCGAGAUUGGGAGAGGGAUGCGGAAUUCCAGGUGUAGCGGUGAAAUGCGUAGAUAUCUGGAGGAACACCGGUGGCGAAGGCGGGUCUCUGGGCCGAUACCGACGCUGAGGAGCGAAAGCGUGGGGAGCAAACAGG